rnacentral:rRNA from 1 species
CUACGGGAGGCAGCAGUGAGGAAUAUUGGUCAAUGGGCGAGAGCCUGAACCAGCCAAGUAGCGUGCAGGAUGACGGCCCUAUGGGUUGUAAACUGCUUUUAUAAGGGAAUAAAGUGAGUCUCGUGAGGCUUUUUGCAUGUACCUUAUGAAUAAGGACCGGCUAAUUCCGUGC